GACGAACGCUGGCGGCGUGCUUAACACAUGCAAGUCGAACGGGCCUUGUCCCCUUUUUUUUGGGGGUGGGGUUAGUGGCGAACGGGUGAGUAACACGUGAGUAACCUGCCCCUCACUUCUGGAUAACCGCUUGAAAGGGUGACUAAUACGGGGUGUUCUGGCCUGCUCGCAUGGGUGGGUUUGGAAAGAUUCGACCGGUUUUGGUUGUUUUGGUGGGGGAUGGGCUCGCGGCCUAUCAGCUUGUUGGUGGGGUGAUGGCCUGCCAAGGCUUUGACGGGUAGCCGGCCUGAGAGGGUGGGCGGUCACACUGGGACUGAGACACGGCCCAGACUCCUACGGGAGGCAGCAGUGGGGAAUAUUGCACAAUGGGCGCAAGCCUGAUGCAGCGACGCCGCGUGAGGGAUGGAGGCCUUCGGGUUGUGAACCUCUUUCGCCAGUGAAGAAGGUCCUGCUCUUUGUGGUGGGGUUGACGGUAGCUGGGUUAAUGAAGCGCCGGCUAACUACGUG
rnacentral:rRNA from 1 species